rnacentral:rRNA from 1 species
UACGUAGGGUGCAAGCGUUAAUCGGAAUUACUGGGCGUAAAGCGUGCGCAGGCGGUGAUGCAAGACAGAUGUGAAAUCCCCGGGCUUAACCUGGGAACUGCAUUUGUGACUGCAUGGCUGGAGUGCGGCAGAGGGGGAUGGAAUUCCGCGUGUAGCAGUGAAAUGCGUAGAUAUGCGGAGGAACACCGAUGGCGAAGGCAAUCCCCUGGGCCUGCACUGACGCUCAUGCACGAAAGCGUGGGGAGCAAACAGG